UACGGAGGGUGCAAGCAUUGAUCGGAAUUACUGGGCGUAAAGGGCGCGUAGGCGGCCGAACCAGUCAGAUGUGAAAUUCCGGGGCUCAACCCCGGAGCAGCAUUUGAAACUAUUUGGCUAGAGUUCAGUUAGGGAAAAUGGAAUUCCACGUGUAGCGGUGAAAUGCGUAGAUAUGUGGAAGAACACCGGUGGUGAAGACGAUUUUCUGGGCUGAAACAGACGCUGAGGCGCGAAAGCUAGGGGAGCAAACAGG
rnacentral:rRNA from 1 species